GUCGUCUUGCUCAAGCUCUGGCCGGCGCGUGACGGCUCCCACAUUGUCGGCGUCGGUCACGUCUUUCUGCUUUUCUUAUCAGCUUUAAUUUCAGUCUUGUUAUAGUGGUUGUGGGGUGCGGAGAUUAGUUGCGGUUUCUAGAUCUGGUUGCUCCUUUUGGUGUAACCUCGAUUAAAGCUUUUAUCACUGGAUCUGGUCGAGCUAUGGAUCUGGAAGAUGAGUAUGGUGGUGAGCUCGCUCUUGGGUGGAGUCCCUCCUCUCGUCUAGCUUCGGUUGUGUGGUUUUAGCUUGUUAUGAGGCUGUUGGUUAGUUUUAAAUGCAGAUUUUUUCUGGCCUUCG